ACAUAUGUAGUUUAUUGACGAAUUAAGAUAUAAGAAUUGUUUUCAUAUUUGAUCCGGACCUGCAAUUGGACCAGUAAAUUGGUGGCCAUAUAUAAUAUGAAAUGGCUUAUUUUUCAUGUAAUAUUCUAUCAUGAUUGUACCAACUGAUAUGUUUCCACAAAAUUCAGAUUUAAUGAAAACUUAUUAAUUGAAAAUCUGAUAAAAUUGAAAAUCCUGCCAUUAACCUGUGAACCGACACAGGUUGACCCGAUAAAAACUUAGAAAAUUUUGAUAAUAUUUUUUUUAAAAAAUUGAUUAUAAUAAACUAUUUGAUUUGUUAUAUAAAGUAAACACAUUGUCUUUAUGUUAUGCAUUUUAAUUUAUAUUUUUUUUAAUGAUCAAUAUUAUGAAAGUUUUAAUGUAUAUAAUUUAUUUUUUGUUUAGAAGCAUACAGUGAGUUUAUGCAUAUUAAUUAAAUUAAAUUUAUGCUUUUUGAAAUGGACUUUCUUGAUGAGUCAUAAAUGUAAUGAAUGAUAUUAAUGGGUAUGUAUAGUUUUUAAGCCCAAAAACUAAAAGAAAAAAAAAUUAUCAUUCAUAAAAAAAAUUAUUUUCUAUAAAUUUAGAGAUAUCUUUGAGAAAAUUGACAUUUUUAUUAAAGAAUAAAUAGGAAUGUUUCUGGUUUAAUAGUAUAAAUGGAAAUUGUAUUUUAUCUUCCUCUUAAAUUUUGGAGAUAUUAUUAGCAUAAUUUUAGAAAUAUUGAAAAUAUAUUAAAUUUUUAAUUUUUGAAAUUGAUUAUAUUAGGUUUGUUAAAAGUUUAAUUGAGGAAGUUAUGGUAUAUUCGAAUAUUUAGGAUAUAUUUCAGAACUUUCUUUGAUAUAUUCUCUAAGGUAUUAUUUAAGACUUGUUAAAAUAUGGAAGUUGUUCGUGUCAAUAUGCAAAAAUAUUAAUGAUCUUUUUUUUUAACAUUAAAAAUAUUAAUGAUCUUGUAAGGCACCAAAAUCAGUCGCUGUCAAUUUUCAAAUUUCUUGCAAGUUUUGUAAUCUCGUGUCAUCGUAGAUUUGUGAUUGCAAAAUUUUGUGUUAAUCUUAGCUCCAUAAAAGAUGAUUUUCAUAACCGUUGUUACUUACAUAAUUUUUGAUGACGUAUAAAUUAAAGUGCAUAUUCACCAAAACAAUAAAGUAUAUUUCAUUUUCAUUCAAAGGUCUCACAUAAGAUUUGUGUAGAUGAGAAUGAGGCUUACCAAUUACGAAUGACAAAAU